rnacentral:rRNA from 1 species
UACGUAGGGGGCAAGCGUUGUCCGGAAUCAUUGGGCGUAAAGAGCGUGUAGGCGGCCAGGUAGGUCGGUUGUGAAAACUAGAGGCUCAACCUCUAGACGUCGACCGAAACCAUCUGGCUAGAGUCCGGGAGAGGAGAGUGGAAUUCCUGGUGUAGCGGUGAAAUGCGCAGAUAUCAGGAAGAACACCCGUGGCGAAAGCGGCUCUCUGGAACGGUACUGACGCUGAGACGGCGAAAGCGUGGGGAGCGAAG